UACAUAUUUAUGCAACCCAUGAUAAUGUGCUGUCCAAAAUUACUCCUAGAUAUUUUAUGGAAUUAACACGGUCAAG